AUUGAACGCUGGCGGCAGGCCUAACACAUGCAAGUCGAGCGCGAAAGUUCUUCGGAAUGAGUAAAGCGGCGGACGGGUGAGUAAUACAUGGGAAUCUGCCUGGUAGUGGGGGACAACGUUUCGAAAGGAACGCUAAUACCGCAUACGCCCUACGGGGAAAGGGGGGGAGUCGCAAGACCUCUCGCUAUCAGAUGAGCCCA
rnacentral:rRNA from 1 species